rnacentral:rRNA from 1 species
UACCAGCACCCCGAGUGGUCGGGACGAUUAUUGGGCCUAAAGCAUCCGUAGCCGGUUCUGCAAGUCCCCCGUUAAAUCCAGCUGCUCAACAGAUGGGCCGCGGAGGAUACUACAGAGCUAGGAGGCAGGAGAGGCAAGCGGUACUCAGUGGGUAGGGGUAAAAUCCGUUGAUCCAUUGAAGACCACCAGUGGCGAAGGCGGCUUGCCAGAACGCACUCGACGGUGAGGGAUGAAAGCUGGGGGAGCAAACCUG